rnacentral:rRNA from 1 species
UACGAAGGUGGCAAGCGUUACUCGGAAUUACUAGGCGUAAAGGGCAGGUAGGUGGUUCGGUAAGUCUGUUGUGUCAGCUCCUGGCUUAACUGGGAGAGGUCAACGGAAACUACCGGACUUGAGUAUAGGAGAGGUUACUGGAAUUCCCGGUGUAGCGGUGAAAUGCGCAGAGAUCGGGAGGAACACCAAUGGCGAAGGCAGGUAACUGGACUAUUACUGACACUCAGCUGCGAAAGCUAGGGGAGCAAACAGG